GACGAACGCUGGCAGCGUGCUUAACACAUGCAAGUCGAGCGGAAAGGCCCUUUCGGGGGUACUCGAGCGGCGAACGGGUGAGUAACACGUGAGUAAUCUGCCCCUGGCUUUGGGAUAGCCACCGGAAACGGUGAUUAAUACCGGAUACGACCACUUCUCGCAUGGGAUGGUGGUGGAAAGUUUUUCGGCCAGGGAUGUGCUCGCGGCCUAUCAGCUUGAUGGUGAGGUAAUGGCUCACCAUGGCUUCGACGGGUAGCCGGCCUGAGAGGGGGACCGGUCACACUGGGACUGAGACACGGCCCAGACUCCUACGGGAGGCAGCAGUGGGGAAUAUUGGACAAUGGGCGGAAGCCUGAUCCAGCAACGCCGCGUGAGGGAUGACGGCCUUCGGGUUGUAAACCUCUUUCAGCAGGGACGAAGCGCAAGUGACGGUACCUGCAGAAGAAGCACCGGCCAACUACGUGCCAGCAGCCGCCGUAA
rnacentral:rRNA from 1 species